UGGGGAAUUUUGGACAAUGGGCGAAAGCCUGAUCCAGCAAUGCCGCGUGUGUGAAGAAGGCCUUCGGGUUGUAAAGCACUUUUGUCCGGAAAGAAAUCCUUGGCUCUAAUACAGUCGGGGGAUGACGGUACCGGAAGAAUAAGCACCGGCUAACUACGUGCCAGCAGCCGCGGUAAUACGUAGGGUGCAAGCGUUAAUCGGAAUUACUGGGCGUAAAGCGUGCGCAGGCGGUUUGCUAAGACCGAUGUGAAAUCCCCGGGCUCAACCUGGGAACUGCAUUGGUGACUGGCAGGCUAGAGUAUGGCAGAGGGGGGUAGAAUUCCACGUGUAGCAGUGAAAUGCGUAGAGAUGUGGAGGAAUACCGAUGGCGAAGGCAGCCCCCUGGGCCAAUACUGACGCUCAUGUACGAAAGCGUGGGGAGCAAACAGGAUUAGAUACCCUGGUAGUCCACGCCCUAAACGAUGUCAACUAGUUGUUGGGGAUUCAUUUCCUUAGUAACGUAGCUAACGCGUGAAGUUGACCGCCUGGGGAGUACGGUCGCAAGAUUAAAACUCAAAGGAAUUGACGGGGUCAUAGCUGUUUCCU
rnacentral:rRNA from 1 species